ensembl:lncRNA
GUACAACAGAGAAAUCAAGGUCAGCAGCUUCUCUUACAUUCCCAGUGUAAACCUCAACAACAUUUAAAGUGCCAUGUUUUGAUUAAAGCUCAUGUGGGCUUUGGGUGGGGGUUUGCUCUUUUCGAAUUUAUUUUAAACCUAAACGUCCCUGUGAGGGACUAGUUCACUGUUCUCUAUGUUCCUGUGAUUAAAACCUACAGCUCAACUCCCAGCCCUGAAGGCAGAGGAUUGAGCACUUCAUUACACACUAACGUUCACACAGUUCACACUAAAGAAAACUCAACACACAAACAGUAUCACACUAACACACUUACUGCACUGGCUGGUCAGAUCGGAAACCUGAGCUUUAUACAUGUGGGAUUCAGCUAUUGUCCAGUACACGUCUAAUGUUUUCUGCUCCAAGCCUUUCUUUUUUUCUUUUUUUUUUUGCCCAAUUUAUUGUUUUCUUUCCUCCCACUGUAUCUCUCCUCUUUCUUCUCUUCCUCUUUUCCCCCGGCUGACUUUAUAGUUUGUAGAAAUGGAUGACUGUGUGCUUCAAGGACUUCUCUCUUUGCUGGGCUGCCUAACCAAUCUCUUCCUUCUAAUAAAGGACUUGAGACAGAGGCAGAGUCAGCAGCAGGACGUCCUAGAGCAGCUCAGGAGGGUGAGAUCUGAGAAACUCAAAGAGCUACAGAGACACAGGAAAGAGGAGGAGGAGAGGAAGAGGAAGAAAGAGGAGGAGGAGGAGAGGAAGAGGAAGAAAGAGGAGGAGGCUGCCAGGUAAAAUUUUGCUAUCUCACACACAGUCAUGCAUAUUUAUCAAGCCAUCUACAGCAUUCCAACGUAAAUGAACAACAUGGAAUUAUUAAGGUAACAUAUUUGAGAUAUAUAGGAUUUUAAAAAAUCAUGUAAAUUUCUGUAAAUAUAUUAUAGUUUUGUAAAAUAUAUUAUACUUUG